AACGAACGCUGGCGGCAGGCCUCAUACAUGCAAGUCGAGCGAGAAACCUUCCUUCGGGAAGGCGGACAGCGGCAGACGGGUGAGUAACGCGUGGGAACGUACCCUUUGGUUCGGAACAACUCCGGGAAACUGGAGCUAAUACCGGAUAAGCCCUACGGGGGAAAGAUUUAUCGCCGAAGGAUCGGCCCGCGUCUGAUUAGCUAGUUGGUGAGGUAACGGCUCACCAAGGCGACGAUCAGUAGCUGGUCUGAGAGGAUGAUCAGCCACACUGGGACUGAGACACGGCCCAGACUCCUACGGGAGGCAGCAGGUGGGGAAUAGUUGGACAAGUGGGCGCAAGCCUGAUCCAGCCAUGCCGCGUGAGUGACGAAGGCCGUUAGGGUUGUAAAGCUUCUUUUGGCGGGGACGAUAAUGACGGUACCCGCAGAAUAAGCCCCGGCUAACUUCGUG
rnacentral:rRNA from 1 species